GAUAAACGCUGGCGGCGCACAUAAGACAUGCAAGUCGAACGAACUUAACCAUAAUGUUUACAUUAAGGAGCGGUUAGUGGCGGACUGGUGAGUAACACGUAAGUAAUCUGCCUAUCAGAGGGGAAUAACAAUGAGAAAUCAUUGCUAAUACCGCAUAUGCUAUAAGAUUCACAUGAAUCAAGUAGGAAAGGAGAAAUCCGCUGAUAGAUGAGCUUGCGUCUGAUUAGCUAGUUGGUGGGGUAAAGGCCGUACCAAGGCGACGAUCAGUAGCCGAGCUGAGAGGCUCAACGGCCACAUUGGGACUGAGAUACGGCCCAGG
rnacentral:rRNA from 1 species